UACGGAGGGGGCAAGCGUUGUUCGGAAUUACUGGGCGUAAAGGGCGCGUAGGCGGCCUUCUAAGUCAGACGUGAAAUCCCCCGGCUUAACCUGGGAACUGCGUCUGAUACUGGGAGGCUUGAGUAUGGGAGAGGGAUGUAGAAUUCCAGGUGUAGCGGUGAAAUGCGUAGAUAUCUGGAGGAAUACCGGUGGCGAAGGCGGCAUCCUGGACCAUAACUGACGCUGAGGCGCGAAAGCUAGGGGAGCAAACGGG
rnacentral:rRNA from 1 species